rnacentral:rRNA from 1 species
AUUGAACGCUGGCGGCAGGCCUAACACAUGCAAGUCGAACGGUAACAGGAAGCAGCUUGCUGCUUUGCUGACGAGUGGCGGACGGGUGAGUAAUGUCUGGGAAACUGCCCGAUGGAGGGGGAUAACUACUGGAAACGGUAGCUAAUACCGCAUAACGUCGCAAGACCAAAGAGGGGGACCUUAGGGCCUCUUGCCAUCGGAUGUGCCCAGAUGGGAUUAGCUAGUAGGUGGGGUAACGGCUCACCUAGGCGACGAUCCCUAGCUGGUCUGAGAGGAUGACCAGCCACACUGGAACUGAGACACGGUCCAGACUCCUACGGGAGGCAGCAGUGGGGAAUAUUGCACAAUGGGCGCAAGCCUGAUGCAGCCAUGCCGCGUGUAUGAAGAAGGCCUUCGGGUUGUAAAGUACUUUCAGCGGGGAGGAAGGGAGUAAAGUUAAUACCUUUGCUCAUUGACGUUACCCGCAGAAGAAGCACCGGCUAACUCCGUGCCAGCAGCCGCGGUAAUACGGAGGGUGCAAGCGUUAAUCGGAAUUACUGGGCGUAAAGCGCACGCAGGCGGUUUGUUAAGUCAGAUGUGAAAUCCCCGGGCUCAACCUGGGAACUGCAUCUGAUACUGGCAAGCUUGAGUCUCGUAGAGGGGGGUAGAAUUCCAGGUGUAGCGGUGAAAUGCGUAGAGAUCUGGAGGAAUACCGGUGGCGAAGGCGGCCCCCUGGACGAAGACUGACGCUCAGGUGCGAAAGCGUGGGGAGCAAACAGG